rnacentral:tRNA from 1 species
GUCUUUCUAGUAUUAACGUCAGUACAGGUGACUUCCAAUCACUCGGUCUUGGUUAAAGCCCAAGGAAAGACA